CUGCGGGCGCUGGGAGCAGCCGGAGGGCGGCAAGGUCCCAAUGAGCGGAAAGGUUCCAGCGCAGCGAGGCUGGGGAAGCCCAGGCAGCCUGCGCUGUUCGCCUGGAGCAGCCCUCGCCCACAACCUCCUAAAGCUCUUUGGACACUUCCAUUAAGGCUGCAUGAAGAGCAGAAGUGGGAAGUUACUUGUCCCUGGCGUGCUAUGAACGAGUGAUGCUGGUUUUACUUCUGCUGCAUUCAGAAAGUGGCUGUGAGUUUAUAGAUUUGAUGUUGGAGGUGUGUGCUGGAGUCUGCAUUCUAUUCAAAUCAAUCUUUUUGGAGGUUGUCACUUUAUCGAGACUGAAUCUCAUAAACCAACCGAGGAAACAAAUCCUGCGCGGGGCUGCCUCUUUGCAAAUGUGAUUUUUGACUCAUGCUGCUGGCAUCCCUGACCUGUAUGCUCACUCCUGCAGGGGGACUGUGGAUGGGGUGAAUGACGUCUAAAGUUUUCUCACAGAGCCUGAAAAAGCAGUGGAGAACCCAGUUAAGUGCAGAAGGAGCAGUGAUGGGCAGUGGACAAGAUACGAUGAUGAAGCUGAUAGGCUACAGGAACUAAAGCUGGGAGAGAUCAGUAUGAACUGGUCUGCAAUGGAGCUUCAAAACCAGCUUGCCUGAGGAAGGAGUACUCUCCCUCUGGAUUCUUAUCUCCCUGGAGAGACUGAAGUUCAUGAACUGCUGUCCAUGAAGGUCCGUGGUAGAGGAUUGCUCUUAACCCCAUAAAAAAAAAUUAAAAUCUAAAUAUCAGUGAUUGUCUCCUCCUUGAUGAAAGUGAAUAUAAGGAGUAGGUUGCCAUAGCAAAGAACAGAACAGAAGCUGGGAAUUUCCUUCUGGUUUUUGGCAGAAGAAAAGUGGUACUUUCCCUUUACUUCAGCUGCUGUUUACUCAGAAAGUGAGUAUAUUUAACUGUAUUAAGGCUAUAUAUUAACAGAGAGGUCUUGCACAUAAAUAUAUUUUUUUGAAAAUUCAGAG